rnacentral:rRNA from 1 species
ACGGAAGGCAGCAGUGGGGAAUAUUGCACAAUGGGGGAAACCCUGAUGCAGCGACGCCGCGUGAGCGAAGAAGUAUUUCGGUAUGUAAAGCUCUAUCAGCAGGGAAGAAAAUGACGGUACCUGACUAAGAAGCCCCGGCUAACUACGUGCCAGCAGCCGCGGUAAUACGUAGGGGGCAAGCGUUAUCCGGAUUUACUGGGUGUAAAGGGAGCGUAGACGGCAAGGUAAGUCUGAAGUGAAAUGCCGGGGCUCAACCCCGGAACUGCUUUGGAAACUAUCUCGCUCGAGUACCAGAGGGGUAAGCGGAAUUCCUAGUGUAGCGGUGAAAUGCGUAGAUAUUAGGAGGAACACCAGUGGCGAAGGCGGCUUACUGGACGGUAACUGACGUUGAGGCUCGAAAGCGUGGGGAGCAAACAGGAUUAGAUACCCUGGUA